AGCGAACGCUGGCGGCAGGCCUAAAACAUGCAAGUCGAACGCCCGUAGCAAUACGGGAGUGGCAGACGGGUGAGUAACACGUGGGAACGUACCCUUUGGUUCGGAACAACACAGGGAAACUUGUGCUAAUACCGGAUAAGCCCUUACGGGGAAAGAUUUAUCGCCAGAGGAUCGGCCCGCGUCUGAUUAGCUUGUUGGUGAGGUAACGGCUCACCAAGGCUACGAUCAGUAGCUGGCUGAGAGGAUGAUCAGCCACACUGGGACUGAGACACGGCCCAGACUCCUACGGGAGGCAGCAGUUAGGAAUCUUGGACAAUGGGCGCAAGCCUGAUCCAGCCAUGCCGCGUGAGUGAUGAAGGCCUUAGGGUUGUAAAGCUCUUUCAGCGGGGAAGAUAAUGACGGUACCCGCAGAAGAAGCCCCGGCUAACUUCGUGCCAGCCGCCGCCGUAAU
rnacentral:rRNA from 1 species